rnacentral:tRNA from 1 species
ACACCUUUAGUUCAGCUGGGAGUAACAUCUCUCUUACAAAGAGAAGGUCAUUGGUUCAAGUCCAAUAAGGUGUACCA